rnacentral:lncRNA from 1 species
AUCAACUCAUAGGUACCACAGAUAACUUUGCCAAAGAUCUCUGACAAAGUUUAGAUACGUGAAGCUUGCAGCUCCCACUACAUCGCUAUGACCAAGAAGGAUAAAAGAAUAGCAAAGAAACAGCACUUAACAAAGUUUAGACACAUAAAUUUUGAAGGUCUAGCUACUAUAUUAUUACCCACAUGGGUAAAGGAACAGCACCACUGCUGGAUAAUUGGAAAGUCCCUGU